AAUAUACGCCAGUAAUAUCCAUUUACAUUUUUCGCCAAAACCCUAGCAUUUGCCUUAACACAUUUUUAUCGCCUCACACUCUCUGUUUUCACUUAGUUUUUGAUUCUUCACUUUCAUUACUUCAAACUCUCGCAGCGAUGAGACCUCCAAGAGGGGCAGAGGUGAUGGUGGAAGAGGGAGAGGAAGAGGAGGUGGUGGAAGAGGUGGUGAUAGGGGCGGUAGUGCCAUGAAAUCCAGCGGCAGACUGGUGUUUGAUUGUUUCUGUUUUCUUAUAGUUCGAUGGAACAAAAAGAUUCUCCAACUUUAGUUGACAAAAACUUUCCUCUUUCCUCUUUUCUCUUGUCACUGUGAAAUCAUUCUUUCGCUAGAUCCAUAGAAGUUGUUUAUUAACUAGAACUUGGUUUUCUGUAUUCUUGUUUACAAUUAUGGCUAUCGGUUCUUGCUGUAAUGUUAUAGAGGAAAAAGGGUUCCAAGUUCCAACACCAGAAGUCCAAUGUUGCUGUUGUUGAUUUGUGGAGGAGUGGGAGAAAAUAUGAUGAUUAGCACUCCGUCUACACUUAAACAACAGCUUUUCUAAUUAUGUUGGAAAUGGCAAUGGCAAUGACAAGGAAAAUGUUGCUGGGGUUUUGGAGACCAAUGGGGAUCUUAAACCCAAAUUCCAAGGGGAAAAACGAGCUAUACAGAGAAUUGGGAGAACCCUGUCAUGUUGGAUGCUCCCGUCUCUAGAGGUGUUGUAGCUGCUGAAGCUGGUUCACUUACUUUCAUGGUUGGUGGCUCUGAAGAUGUGUAUCUUGCUGCCAAAUCCUUACUCCUCUCGAUGGGAAAAGAGGAACUGCAAGAGGCUAUUGAUUUUAUAUCUCUGUUCGGGUAAAGUGGGCUUUGUGCUUCAGUCAGAGCUGCCUUGGUUCUUAGUGGUAGUAUGGGUUCUAUCUAAUUCAAAAAUGAGAAAGAAAAGGAAAGAAUGGGCAGAUAAUGUAUCUUUCAAAAUGAUGAAAGUGCCACAGUAGAGUCAAAACUAAGAGUGUUUUGUUUCAAGAUUCAGUUCCGAACUCAGGUUUCUGAAUUUAAAAGGAGCUUAAAUACUGUAAAUUCUGCAUGUAAUGAGGUACGAAAUUUCCUUAAAUUGAAGGAUCUCAUGAAGAAAAUUCUCUAUCUGGGAAAUACAUUGAACCAAGGAACUGCAAGGGGUUUGAGUUUUUGUUGGAUACAUGGUCCAGGAUUAGCUGAAUUCAUGCAUAGUGACGACUUGUUUAAGCUAACUACUUAUCUUAAAGUGUGCAUUCUAUCAUUAUUUUGUUCUAUUUGUAUUUUGUUAGAUUUCUGGUGUAGUAUGAUAAGUGCGGUAUUUUGUUUGGCGGGAUGUAUUUAUAUCAUAGAUUAUUCUUCUUCUCAAUAUUUUGAUAAUGAAUUUUAAUUUUUUUAUA